CCGCACUCCCAGGCGCCAAUUAAAAUGUAACUUUUAUUUUCACAUAAAAAAAUAAACGUUUCAGUCCCCGAUUGGAACUUUCCUCAGGACAAUCGGGGACUGAAACGUUGACCUUUGGCAUUUAUUUUUUGAUGUGAAAAUAAAAGUUACAUUUUAAUUGGAGCAUGGGAGUGCGG